rnacentral:rRNA from 1 species
GACGAACGCUGGCGGCGUGCUUAACACAUGCAAGUCGAACGGAAAGGCCCUUCGGGGUACUCGAGUGGCGAACGGGUGAGUAACACGUGGGUGAUCUGCCCUGCACUUUGGGAUAAGCCUGGGAAACUGGGUCUAAUACCGAAUAGGACCACGCGCUUCAUGGUGUGUGGUGGAAAGCUUUUGCGGUGUGGGAUGGGCCCGCGGCCUAUCAGCUUGUUGGUGGGGUAAUGGCCUACCAAGGCGACGACGGGUAGCCGGCCUGAGAGGGUGACCGGCCACACUGGGACUGAGAUACGGCCCAGACUCCUACGGGAGGCAGCAGUGGGGAAUAUUGCACAAUGGGCGCAAGCCUGAUACAGCGACGCCGCGUGAGGGAUGACGGCCUUCGGGUUGUAAACCUCUUUCAAUAGGGACGAAGCGCAAGUGACGGUACCUAUAGAAGAAGCACCGGCCAACUACGUGCCAGCAGCCGCGGUAAUACGUAGGGUGCGAGCGUUGUCCGGAAUUACUGGGCGUAAAGAGCUCGUAGGUGGUUUGUCGCGUUGUUCGUGAAAACUCACAGCUUAACUGUGGGCGUGCGGGCGAUACGGGCAGACUAGAGUACUGCAGGGGAGACUGGAAUUCCUGGUGUAGCGGUGGAAUGCGCAGAUAUCAGGAGGAACACCGGUGGCGAAGGCGGGUCUCUGGGCAGUAACUGACGCUGAGGAGCGAAAGCGUGGGGAGCGAACAGGAUUAGAUACCCUGGUAGUCCACGCCGUAAACGGUGGGUACUAGGUGUGGGUUCCUUCCUUGGGAUCCGUGCCGUAGCUAACGCAUUAAGUACCCCGCCUGGGGAGUACGGCCGCAAGGCUAAAACUCAAAGGAAUUGACGGGGGCCCGCACAAGCGGCGGAGCAUGUGGAUUAAUUCGAUGCAACGCGAAGAACCUUACCUGGGUUUGACAUGCACAGGACGCCGGCAGAGAUGUCGGUUCCCUUGUGGCCUGUGUGCAGGUGGUGCAUGGCUGUCGUCAGCUCGUGUCGUGAGAUGUUGGGUUAAGUCCCGCAACGAGCGCAACCCUUGUCCUAUGUUGCCAGCGGGUUAUGCCGGGGACUCGUAGGAGACUGCCGGGGUCAACUCGGAGGAAGGUGGGGAUGACGUCAAGUCAUCAUGCCCCUUAUGUCCAGGGCUUCACACAUGCUACAAUGGCCGGUACAAAGGGCUGCGAUGCCGUGAGGUGGAGCGAAUCCUUUCAAAGCCGGUCUCAGUUCGGAUCGGGGUCUGCAACUCGACCCCGUGAAGUCGGAGUCGCUAGUAAUCGCAGAUCAGCAACGCUGCGGUGAAUACGUUCCCGGGCCU